AAUUAGUGUUAUCACCUGGAUGUGUCGGAGUGGGCGAGGACCUUCUUCCUGUCUCUCGCCUUCAUUCUGUAAUCAAUCGUGGACGGAUCUCCACGCGUAUAAGUUAGUUACCCUCCAAGGCACACAGUAUUAGAGCGAUGUCAGGAACCAAGAGGAUGAUGGUGGCGGUGCUGACUGUAGUCGCUGUCUUGGGAGUCAUAGGGAUGAGGACAGCUGAGGCCGCGGUGCAUUUCGAGCCCAAGUGUAUAGACUGUGGACCUCCCACACUUCCCAGCUGUCCAGAGUGUCAUAAAUAUGAUACCGUGAACAAAGAGUGUAUGAAACUAUACAACUGUUCACCGUUGAAGGUAUAAGAAGCUCCCAGUGCCAUCACCAUGUUGUCAAUAUACCACCACCACCAUCAAUCACCAUUCUGUUACUAUACCACACCACCACCACCACCAUGCAUGCCGUCACUA